rnacentral:rRNA from 1 species
GAAUAUUGCGCAAUGGGCGAAAGCCUGACGCAGCGACGCCGCGUGUGGGAUGACGGCCUUCGGGUUGUAAACCACUGUCGGGAGGGACGAAUGCGCCGCAAGGCGAGUGACGGUACCUCCAAAGGAAGCACCGGCUAACUCCGUGCCAGCAGCCGCGGUAAUACGGGGGGGGCAAGCGUUGUUCGGAAUUACUGGGCGUAAAGGGCUCGUAGGCGGCCAACUAAGUCGGAUGUGAAAUCCCCAGGCUCAACCUGGGAACUGCAUCCGAUACUGGAUGGCUUGAAUUCGGGAGAGGGAUGCAGAAUUCCAGGUGUAGCGGUGAAAUGCGUAGAUAUCUGGAGGAAUACCGGUGGCGAAGGCGGCAUCCUGGACCGAGAUUGACGCUGAGGAGCGAAAGCUAGGGGAGCAAAC